UGGGGAAUAUUGCACAAUGGGGGAAACCCUGAUGCAGCGACGCCGCGUGAGCGAAGAAGGCUUUCGAGUCGUAAAGCUCUGUCCUAUGAGAAGAUAAUGACGGUAUCAUAGGAGGAAGCCCUGGCUAAAUACGUGCCAGCAGCCGCGGUAAUACGUAUGGGGCGAGCGUUGUCCGGAAUUAUUGGGCGUAAAGGGUACGUAGGCGGUUUUUUAAGUCAGGUGUCAAAGCGUGGAGCUUAACUCCAUUAAGCACUUGAAACUGAAAGACUUGAGUGAAGGAGAGGAAAGUGGAAUUCCUAGUGUAGCGGUGAAAUGCGUAGAUAUUAGGAGGAAUACCGGUGGCGAAAGCGACUUUCUGGACUUUUACUGACGCUCAGGUACGAAAGCGUGGGGAGCAAACAGG
rnacentral:rRNA from 1 species